rnacentral:rRNA from 1 species
UACGUAGGGUGCAAGCGUUGUCCGGAAUUAUUGGGCGUAAAGAGCUCGUAGGCGGUUUGUCGCGUCUGCUGUGAAAACCUAAGGCUCAACCUUGGGCUUGCAGUGGGUACGGGCAGACUAGAGUGCGGUAGGGGUGACUGGAAUUCCUGGUGUAGCGGUGGAAUGCGCAGAUAUCAGGAGGAACACCGAUGGCGAAGGCAGGUCUCUGGGCCACAACUGACGCUGGAGGAGCGAAAGCGUGGGGAGCGAACAGG